AAUACGUUCCCGGGCCUUGUACACACCGCCCGUCAAGUCACGAAAGUCGGUAACACCCGAAGCCGGUGGCCCAACCCUUUGGGAGGGAGCCGUCGAAGGCGGGGCUCGCGAUUGGGGUG
rnacentral:rRNA from 1 species